UACGUAGGGUGCGAGCGUUGUCCGGAAUUAUUGGGCGUAAAGGGCUCGUAGGCGGUUUGUCACGUCGGGAGUGAAAACUCAGGGCUUAACCCUGAGCCUGCUUCCGAUACGGGCAGACUAGAGGUAUGCAGGGGAGAACGGAAUUCCUGGUGUAGCGGUGAAAUGCGCAGAUAUCAGGAGGAACACCGGUGGCGAAGGCGGUUCUCUGGGCAUUACCUGACGCUGAGGAGCGAAAGUGUGGGGGAGCGAACAGG
rnacentral:rRNA from 1 species